rnacentral:misc_RNA from 1 species
GACGUCAUCCCCACCUUCCUCCGGUUUGUCACCGGCGGUCUCCUUAGAGUUCCCACCAUUACGUGCUGGCAACUAAGGACAAGGGUUGCGCUCGUUGCGGGACUUAACCCAACAUCUCACGACACGAGCUGACGACAGCCAUGCAGCACCUGUCUCACGGUUCCCGAAGGCACCAAUCCAUCUCUGGAAAGUUCCGUGGAUGUCAAGGCCAGGUAAGGUUCUUCGCGUUGCAUCGAAUUAAACCACAUACUCCACCGCUUGUGCGGGCCCCCGUCAAUUCCUUUGAGUUUCAGUCUUGCGACCGUACUUCCCAGGCGGCGAACUUAACGCGUUAGCUUCGAUACUGAGAGCCAAGUUGCUCCCAACAUCCAGUUCGCAUCGUUUAGGGCGUGGACUACCA